rnacentral:rRNA from 1 species
GUYUUUUUGAAAAUAAUAUAAAGUYUAAUYUGCCCACUGAUAAAAUUAAAGGGCUGCAGUAUUUUGACUGUACAAAGGUAGCAUAAUCAAUAGUCUCUUAAUUGGUGACUUGUAUGAAAGAUUGGAUGAAAUAUAAGCUGUCUUUAUUUAAAUAUUAAAAAUUAAUUUUUUAGUUAAAAAGCUAAGAUAUUUUUAAAAGACGAGAAGACCCUAUAGAGUUUUAUAAUUUAAUUUAAUUUUAAUAUUUUAUGUUUUUUUUUAUUAAAAUAAAGGGAAUUAUUUUGUUGGGGUGAUAGAAAAAUUUAAAAAACUUUUUUUUUGAUGUUAACAUUAAUAUAUGAUUAAAUGAUCCAUAAAUAAUGAUUAUAAGAAAAAAUUACCUUAGGGAUAACAGCGUAAUUUUUUUUUUUAGUUCAAAUAAGAAAAAAAGUUUGCGACCUCGAUGUUGGAUUAAGAUAAAAUUUAAAUGCAAAAGUUUAAAAUUUUUGAUCUGUUCGAUCAUUAAAAUCUU